rnacentral:sRNA from 1 species
UGGGUGAUGCGGCGGCUCGGGCCGGGGCCGCGGGCGUCCUGAGCGCAGCGCCCUCCCGGGAUGCCCGCCGGCCGCUGGCCCGGCCAUGUCGUCGUCCUUCUUCAACCCCAGCUUCGCCUUCAGCUCGCACUUCGACCCCGCAGAAGCAGCCGGACCCCCUGGCGGCCCCAGAUCUCGGAGGGGCAGGCCCUGGGCCCCAGCACAAACCGGCCUCCUCCUGUGGGCUGGCGUCCCCCGCGUGGUCGUGACUCCGUGGCUGCCCCCAGGGCACAGACGGCGCCCCGCUCAGCGAGCUGUCCUGGCCAUCCUCUCUCGCCGUGGUGGCUGUGUCUUUCUCCGGGCUCUUCGCCGUCAUCGUCCUCAUGCUGGCCUGCCUGUGCUGUAAGAAGGGCGGUAUCGGGUUCAAG